rnacentral:rRNA from 1 species
GAUGAACGCUAGCGGCAGGCUUAAUACAUGCAAGUCGAGGGGCAGCAGGACUGUAGCAAUUCAGUUGCUGGCGACCGGCAAACGGGUGCGGAACACGUACGCAACCUACCCAAAACUGGGGGAUAGCCCGGGGAAACCCGGAUUAAUACCUCGUAACCUUUUUAAGUGGCAUCACUUGAUAAGUAUAGCUCCGGCGGUUUUGGAUGGGCGUGCGCCUGAUUAGGUAGUUGGUGCGGGUAACGGCCCACCAAGCCUGCGAUCAGUAACUGGUGUGAGAGCACGACCAGUCACAAGGGCACUGAGACACGGGCCCGACUCCUACGGGAGGCAGCAGUAAGGAAUAUUGGUCAAUGGACGCAAGUCUGAACCAGCCAUGCCGCGUGAAGGAUGAAGGUCCUCUGGAUUGUAAACUUCUUUUAUGGGGGACGAAACCCGGAUAUUCUUAUCCGAUUGACGGUACCUCAGGAAUAAGCACCGGCUAACUCCGUG